UACGUAGGGGGCUAGCGUUGUCCGGAAUCAUUGGGCGUAAAGCGCGUGUAGGUGGUCCGGUAAGUCCGCUGUGAAAGUCGAGGGCUCAACCCUCGAAUGCCGGUGGAUACUGUCGGGCUAGAGUGCGGAAGAGGCGAGUGGAAUUCCUGGUGUAGCGGUGAAAUGCGCAGAUAUCUGGAGGAAUACCGGUGGCGAAGGCGGCAUCCUGGACCGGCAUUGACGCUGAGGAGCGAAAGCCAGGGGAGCAAACGGG
rnacentral:rRNA from 1 species